rnacentral:rRNA from 1 species
AUUGAACGCUGGCGGCAGGCCUAACACAUGCAAGUCGAGCGGAAACGAAGGGAGCUUGCUCCCAGGCGUCGAGCGGCGGACGGGUGAGUAACACGUGAGAAUCUGCCCAUUAGUGGGGGACAACUCGGGGAAACUCGAGCUAAUACCGCAUAAUCCCUACGGGGGAGAGCAGGGGACCUUUUGGCCUUGCGCUGAUGGAUGAGCUCACGUCGGAUUAGCUUGUUAGUGAGGUAAAGGCUCACCAAGGCGACGAUCCGUAGCUGGUCUGAGAGGAUGAUCAGCCACACUGGGACUGAGACACGGCCCAGACUCCUACGGGAGGCAGCAGUGGGGAAUCUUGGACAAUGGGGGCAACCCUGAUCUAGCCAUGCCGCGUGUGUGAAGAAGGCCUUCGGGUUGUAAAGCACUUUCAGCAGGGAGGAAGGCUUUGGCCGAAUAGGUUGAAGUACUUGACGUUACCUGCAGAAGAAGCACCGGCUAAUUUCGUGCCAGCAGCCGCGGUAA